UUACUCCUACGGGAGGCAGCAGUGGGGAAUUUUGGACAAUGGGCGAAAGCCUGAUCCAGCAAUGCCGCGUGCAGGAAGAAGGCCUUCGGGUUGUAAACUGCUUUUGUACGGAACGAAAAGGUCUGCCCUAAUACGGCGGGCCCAUGACGGUACCGUAAGAAUAAGCACCGGCUAACUACGUGCCAGCAGCCGCGGUAAUACGUAGGGUGCGAGCGUUAAUCGGAAUUACUGGGCGUAAAGCGUGCGCAGGCGGUUAUGUAAGACAGUUGUGAAAUCCCCGGGCUCAACCUGGGAAUUGCAUCUGUGACUGCAUAGCUAGAGUACGGUAGAGGGGGAUGGAAUUCCGCGUGUAGCAGUGAAAUGCGUAGAUAUGCGGAGGAACACCGAUGGCGAAGGCAAUCCCCUGGACCUGUACUGACGCUCAUGCACGAAAGCGUGGGGAGCAAACAGGAUUAGAUACCCUGGUAGUCCACGCCCUAAACGAUGUCAACUGGUUGUUGGGUGCAUUAGUACUCAGUAACGAAGCUAACGCGUGAAGUUGACCGCCUGGGGAGUACGGCCGCAAGGUUGAAACUCAAAUGAAUUGACGG
rnacentral:rRNA from 1 species